AUGCGCAAAUUCAUAUUGUUGAGUUUGUUUGUCUCAGAGUCAGAGAGCCGUGUCUCUCUACAGUCAGAGGUUUUUGUACGGCGCCUCAAUGAGUUUGUAUCACUGUGGUACACGUUCGGUGGAGGAACCAGACUGCAAGUUGGAAGUGAUGCCCGCCCCGCCCUGAAGGUGCUGGGUCCCUCCAGUGAGGAACUGAAACAGGGGGAGGCUACAGUCAUGUGUGUGGCCAACAAGGGCUUCCCCUCAGACUGGAGUCUGUCCUGGAAGGUGGAUGGCAGUGGCAGCAUCAGCUGGGAGGAGAGCAGGAGCCCCGUGGUGCAGGAGAACGACGGCCUCUACAGCUGGAGCAGCACCCUGAGGCUCCCUGCAGACCACUGGAUGAAGGUGGGCUCUGUGACCUGUGAGGCCACCCAGGGCUCCCACACUGUGGCCUCAGAGCCACUGAUGAGAGACCAGUGUCCCCAGUCCUGACCUGACUAACUGUGACUUUCAUGCUGGUCUUACUUUCAGUCUGCAUUCUGUAGCUUUAAAAAAAAAAAAAUCGAAUUUCUUCUCUCAUUUCUCAUUGCUUUGUUUAAAGUUGGUUUUAAAAGUUUUAAAGAAUAAAAAAAUAUCUAUAUUAAA